UCUCAGCUGAUCGGCGGGUGGGCGGGGCUUCCACGGAGGUCUGGUGUAGGCCUCUGUGAAGCCUGAACUCCAGUAGGGCCCAAGCCAGCCAGGAAGGAGGAGGCAGCCAGAGUGGCCUCCACUGUUCUCUGCAGCAGAAGACCCCUUGCUGCCAGAUCAUCAGCAUCUUAGGUGGAAACCAGAAUAGCACAAAGAGCAAAACAUUCAUUAUGUCAGCUGCAGCCACAUAUUACCACCACCGACCUCACCUGGUCCCUGCCAUCAGUUCAUUUUAUUUGUCUCUGCUUGGGGGUGAGUUGAGCAACUGAAAUAGUGUUGUCUCCUCAUUUCUGCCCCUCCAUCGUUGACCCACCCUGGCUGCCUGUGCCCCAUGCUGCCGCCCUGUCUGUGUCUCAACCCAGGGGUGGCUGGCUGGUGCAUCCGUGACCAGCAGUGUGCAGCAGGAGAAGGACCAGAAGAAGAGGGGUUAGUGUGCGUGCACAAUUGUGUGCACCUUUUGUUGUCCCCUUUCCCUAUUUGGCGGUUUUAAAUAGGGACAUCUGUAUUUUGAAAUGCAUUUGGGUGCGGGGAGGGACACUUGGAGAUGUACUGUUGUUGUGUGUUGCUGAAGAAAUUGUUGUUGUGUUGCAUGCUUUUCUUGCAGGUUGUUUCUUGUUUUAACAGGUUCCCCACCCCACCCCAGGUCAUUGUUGUUAUGUUUUGGAGAUAUAUGAUGUUCUAACAUGUGUUUUGCUUGGUUGCUUUGGGUGGAGUGGGUGGGCUUUGUUAAAGUGCAAUUUUUUAAAUAGGCAAGGUUGCUUGGUACCCCAGUAUUUCUUGAAAUCCACCCCCCCAACCCAAUCCAUCCUCACACUGUUCAGUUCACUAAAGAAGGGUUUCCUUUGAUUUUCAGGUUCCCAAGCUUUGACUGCAUCCCUCCCCCCCCGUAGGUGCUGUGCCCUCCCCGCAUCUUCCAUUUUCCCCAUAAUCAAAAGACUUGCCCCCCCCAACUACUCCACCUAACUGUGCGUGCCACCCCCCCACCCAAGGGUCCACCCUUUUCCCAAAUUAAAAAACACACCCAUCCCCAUCCCCAAUUGGCUUAACACCUGACCCACCCCAAUUUCAAAAGGUUACCCUCCCCCUCACUUCAAUUGGCUUUCCCCCCUCCCACAUCAAAAAGUCUUCCCUUCCCCCCAGUUGGCUUUUUCCCAUCAAAUUUCCCUCCCGCCGCCUCCCAAUUAAUUGGCUUUUUUGCCCCUUCCCCCUUCCAAUUUUUUUUUUUUUUUUUGCCCCUUUCUGGCCUUCCUCAUAAAGUCUCCCACCUUUAGAAAAAGUUUAACAUGUCUGACCAACACGAGUGCCGUGUUGCGGGCAGGGCUCGCAGAAGGUUGGCAGGCAGAGGUGGGAGAGGCCUGCGGCAGCUGUGGCACAGAAAAGUGGGAGAGGACGCGGGGAGCCUGAGGAUACCCCGGUCCUCCCCAUUGCACAAUUCUUUGCCCCAGCUGAGGGGUUUGUCCACAGGCUCGAUUUCCCCCAGCCUGCUGCCGGCAAUCGCGGCAGAGGCAGAGGGACUAGGGCUGUGGCAGGUCCCUCCUCGGCAGCACCAGUUGCUGCUGGGGCACCGCCAGUGGUGGUAGAGGAGACUGUUGGUGUGGGAGAGCAGGUAGAGGGCGCUGAGGAUCUUAUGGCUGGCAGCGAUGCAGCCAAGUUCUCCCUCCCUCUUGGGGCCCUUCCCCCAUCCUUUCGCCGCUCAGUGGGUCCCCCCCUCAUGAAGUCCACCACU